AUUGAACGCUGGCGGCGUGCUUAACACAUGCAAGUCGAUCGGUAACAGGUGUAGCAAUACAUGCUGACGAGAGGCGGACGGGUGAGUAAUGCUUGGGAAUCUGCCUAUUAGUGGGGGACAACCCGGGGAAACUCGGGCUAAUACCGCAUACGCUCUACGGAGGAAAGCCGGGGACCGCAAGGCCUGGCGCUAAUAGAUGAGCCCAAGUCGGAUUAGCUAGUUGGUAGGGUAACGGCCUACCAAGGCGACAAUCCGUAGCUGGUCUGAGAGGACGACCAGCCACACCGGAACUGAGACACGGUCCGGACUCCUACGGGAGGCAGCAGUGGGGAAUAUUGGACAAUGGGGGCAACCCUGAUCCAGCGACGCCGCGUGGGUGAAGAAGGCCUGCGGGUUGUAAAGCCCUUUCGGUGGGGAAGAAAGUCUCGACCUAAUACGUCGGGACCUUGACGUAACCCACUAAA
rnacentral:rRNA from 1 species